rnacentral:lncRNA from 1 species
AUGUAGUGUGUCGCCGGCUUGCGUCCGCCGCCGCCGCCUGACCGAAAGCGACGCAGCCAUGGCCGGAGCUGCUGCCGAUCGCCGCCGCGCUCCCCUCCCCUUUCCCCACAUUCCGGCGGCCGGCGCGGCCGGCGGGCCCACUUCUCGCUCUCGGUGAGUGCUCUCCUCCUCCUCCUCCUCCCGUUCCCCACUGCUUCCCGGUCCCCUUCUCGGUGAGUGUUCUGUUGUUCGAGCGGCGACUGUUGGCGUGACCCCGCCGAGGGCCGAGGCGAUGGCGGCUUCUCGUCUGCUCGGUUGGUGGAUUCCAUAGUGCCCGUUCGUGUGAGCCAUUUAGCUAGGUAUCUCUUCUUCAGUUCUCAAUUUUCCCGCUUGGGCGAGGUUUUCGCUCUGAGCUUAGCUUGGGUUUAUGCUCGUAUUCAGUUCUACUGCCGGAAUAUUGAUGGAGAAAAUAUUGAUAUUGCUAGCAUGUUCAGGGUAUUAGGACAGACAACUAGGCAGAAACUGUCAUAUAUUAGUUUUGUCCUUUUUCUCCAAUUCUUUCUGUGUAAUAUUGAUACAUUAUGAUCUGCUCCAGCAAGCUAAUCCUCUAAAAUCACUGCAAUAAUUUUUCACCCUUUUUCGUAUCGUAGCUUAGAAAUUAGAAUCUAAGCUGAAAACAUCAUAGAUGUUCUGAAGAACUACACUGAUUUUUUUUUCUCUUGCUAUGGUUGAAUGAUUGAUUUUUUGUUUCUUCACCUGUAUCUCUUUCACAGUGUGUUACACUUACACAGCCAAGCCAACAGCCACUCCAAGUGUUAUUGCUACUACCCCGCUUUAGGUUGAUUAUUGUUGGUCGUGCUGCUACGUUAUUCCAAUGUUGGCAAAUUUACUGUAGAAUGCGAUGUUCAGCUGCCGAAGAAUUGUCCUUCUGCUUCAACCCGCUUGUAGAUGUGAUUUUUAUCGAAUCUUGAUGCCUAACCGUGCGCAGUACAUCAAUCUAAAAAAAUAAACAAAAAUACCUCAUGGAUCGAAGAACUAACCCUGUAUGUAAUGAGAAAUUGAUUCUUACCUUAUUAACAUCUGAAUUAUAUUCUGGAAAGUUUUCAAAAAUCCCUGAGCCAUGUUAACAUCCAUAUUAAGCAACAUUGACCUCUAUCAAUUCAUGGAACUAUUUGCAGCCACUAUACACAGGCGAGCUUCUGUUUGAAGUGACAUCUGUUGAAUAGUGUGAACUUCAGAUUUUAAGUUUUAGCAUACAAGUAACAUGAAUCUGUGCCCUCAUGCUUUCGUAAUGCCAUCAUCAUGCUCAUGUCAAGAAAGAUAGGAUUUAAAUAACUACUCAGACAUAACCAAGUAUGCAGGAACUCAUCUUUUCUCUUCUGUUUAGCAACAAACCAUGUUUGGAAAAUCGAUCUUUCUAUUUUUUUGAAGAAACACCAAGGGAGCUAAUAUUGUUCAUUAAUAACAGAGGGUUUCAAAACACUCAAGGAAAACUGUUUUUCUGAAGAGCAAAUUAGAAAGUAAAAAACUGUUCCCUCAAAUUUGGUAUUAGAUCUGCUUGCAAAUGAAUUGUGUUAUUAAUUUCCCCUUUCCAUAGGAGUUAUUUUUAUUUGAGUUUGCAAUGACCUAUUUAUAACACUGAUUAUGCAAAAUCAUCCCUUUGAAGCCUAGUUGCUACUUCACUGUGACCUGAUUAAUAAUCUGCUAUAUCGUUUGUCCCCUUCAUUCAUCUUUCCUCCACUAAUUAUGAUGUUAGGUGAUCAUUAUUUAUAUUAUCUUUAACACUAGGGUAUUUUAAAAAUCUGAAUGGGCUCUAAGAAGGUCCUGUUUACGAUUGUUAUCUUUGUGCACAUCUACUUAUUUCACAUCUACUUAUUUCAUUUUCAUGCAUUUCUGCAUGUGUCUAACUGACAUAUUUCUAUAACGUACAGUUGCAGAUACACCUAAUAUUACAGUACCUCCAAGCAGCCACAUCAUAUGGUCAUCUUUACCAGUUCUUGUUUGACAUUCCUUCUUUAAACAUGCAGGUACAUCCAAAACUGGCAAUUGAAGUGAACAUUCCCACAUAAGUACAAAUGUCCAUGGCACAUAGACAAAUUGUUAGCCUGUAAAUUGUCUUUACCAGCUAGAAAUUGAUGUGUAGAUUAUGGAACCUUCUUUUUUCUAAUUGCUUUUCAGGACUGGUCUUGCACAGUAAUAUUUGUCCCAUUGCAUUUAUCAAUCUAGUGUCUGGUUACUUUAUGUCAACAUAUUUGUAUAGGUGACCGAUUCCCAUUUGUUAUUGCCACGUGGAAGAAAGUCUCUAUCAAAAGCUGUUUUUGUGGGAACCCAUGGAUGUCAAGUUGCUAAUGACAGUUGUACUAUGUUGAAAUAAUCUGAUUUUUUUUUUUUUUUUUUUUGCAAUCAAGGGGAACCUACUGGUUACUACUAGGUAGACUAAACCAGCUUAAUGCAUUUGUAAAGGCUAAAGGGUUGUCCCUUAAGGGUAAGCCUUCACAUUAUUUAGAAACAACACUAGGGAAGAUUUUCUCCAUGCAUUCUCUCUACCACUCUCUAUAACAUUGUUAUACCUUUUAACUUCCAUCAUACCCAUCAAUCACACUGUUAUCUUGUAUCCAUGGAUCUAUAUGAUGUAUACAUCCUGAUUCCUGAGGGAUGACUUGGCCUCCAACAGUUGUUUUUGCUUUCUUGUUCUUCUUGGUUCACAAGUUUAGGUUGUAUCUUUCAUGUGGAUUGCUGAUUCCAGAAUCUUCAUCUCUCCAUAUCAUCAUAUGUCCUCAUUGGUAUGUGAAGAGAUAUCUUCACCUUGUUGGAGAUGGCAUUAGACAAUGAUCUAUGCUAGCUUGGCCCAUGGUAGGCCUUCCAUUCUGUCAGUCAAAUCAUCAUCAUUAGUUCGUAUCUUUUAUUUUGAAUGGGCUGUUAUCUUCUCUUUUUUUCUUGAUUAGCUAAUCUUAAGAGGCCCAUGUCUGCCAUAUUUAAAAGUAUCAAGUGAAAUCGUUAUGCUUGUUGCUUGAUUGCAAUGUCUAGCUCAGUAAUUGAGCUGUAAAAUAGGCUUUAGACUCACUGCCGUCUACCUUGUAGGUAAGACACGUAAUUUGUUUCCUCAUUUCUUUAAUCCAUGUUUCUUUACUUUCCUUCAGGAUCUUUCCUGUUUGGCCCAUACCAAAUCGAGCAGUCCUUUUCCAUGCCUGUAUUCAAGUGGGACGUGAUCAGCUAGCUCCAGAUUCUCCUUAGCAAA